CACCCUUGUCUGAACAGGGCAACACCACAGACAGUAAAAAGAGGUAAAACAGCUACAACUACUGUCUGGAGAGGGAAAUAUUCAAGUGAGGACCCAUCAUGAGUGUGGAGGGGGGGUGAGUCUGGGACGCCAGACACCACUGUUGAGCCUUGUGGAGGUGUUGUGGCCUAAUUCAAUGAAACGCCUAUGAAGGAAGCUCGUCAUUGAGAAGAUGUACGAAAGCCUUACUGCAGCCUACUGGAUUGGAGUGUGGCGUGCGCAUAGUGUAGCGUAAAAUAAAAGAGUAUGGCAGAUAGAUUUUUUUCUUAAUGUGACUUCUGUAUUCAGAAUCUGCCCAUCAAAUGAUCCCUCUUCCAUCAGCAGGUUGCAUAAAUUUACCCCUCACAACACACCUAUCUGGAACAACAGAUACAUUACUGUAAAGACGUCAUCCUUGUUUAUCAAGGACUGGCUAGAGAAAGGCAUCUGGUCAGUCCUGCAUUUAAUUGAUUAAUGGAUGUCUUUUAACAUAUCCAAGCUUUUGUUUUAAGUAUGAGUUAACCUGCAACAUUGAUACAUAUCAUUCUGUAUUUGAUGCACCUGACUCCAUGAACCUUUUUCACAGCAGCCAUUUCUUUACAUAAAAUAUGGCAGACCCAGGUGUUAGGAAUUACACUAAUUAAGGGUGUAAUUGUGCUAUACACACAUUGAACAGUGACUUCAUUAACAUAAUCAGUAACACCUGAGGUUGUCCUACUUUUUCAUGUCAAAAUGGCUGCUGUGAAAAAGGUCUAUUUUAGGCCUAAUAAGAGGAAUAAUUUCAGAUCCCAAUAUUUGUCCUUCCACAGCUCUUUGUUGAAGGUUGUGCCUUUAAGAGUUUUAGAUUCUCCAACAAAUGUCUUAGAAACCUAUUUAUCAACCUUACCCCUUAUUAACAUAUAGAAAUUCCAUUUUAAAAGUAUUUACAAAGAAUCGUAUACAGCUUUUGCGAACUGAAUACAUGAGAUAUCCCAUAAUGCCUAAGGCCAAAGAGCUACAUUUCAAAACUUUGAAUGGAAUAUACCCCUCCAACGAAUUAAUCAAAAGGCGCUUUGGGAUUGAAACUGAUAAUUGUGUAUUUUGUAAUUGGCUGGAAACCGCUGAGCAUCUGUUUGUCGAAUGUGUUUAUGUUAAAACCUUGUGGCUUGACCUUCAUAAUUCAGUCCUUUAUGUUAGAUAACUUUGACUUAAAGGACAUUAUAUAUGGACUCUUUACUGUGAAUGAUAUGAUGAUCUCUUAGUCAAUGUGAUUGUUAUUCUCUGUAAUGUUUUUAUACAUAAAUGUAAAUACUCAAAGGUUAAGCCCACAAUGAUUUCCUUUAUUAUACAAAAGCCCUUAAAUAUGAAGUCUAAGAAAGCAGUACAACUUUUGAACAGUGUUACAGAAUAUGAUUUAAUGACUAAGCCUUAGUUAUAUGUUUUUUUCUGUUGUAUUUUGUUUUUUUUCUGUUUUGAUUAUUAUUAUUAAUUUUUUUUCUCUCUUUGCUUCCUCCUUUUAAAUUACGCCUGAUCCUGUAGAUGGAUUCCUCAUGGAUUGUUUUGACCCAUGUUUAUUGUAGACUGACUACACAAAAUAUGGAAUAAUUACAAAAAAGUCUCUAUUUUUGCAUUUACU